CCGGUUUGGUAAUUGACUAGUCUGUUUAUGCAGCAGAGGAAUCGCUGCAGGAGUCCCAACUGCCAAGUAUAUCACAGCCUCUUGAAGUGGCUUCACGGUUCCUCAUAGAAGAGCCCCAGUAUUCUGACUCUGCAACAAAUAGCUAUCGGACAAAAGUCUUACAAAAGCUGCAAGAGAUUGUCGACAACCAGCAAGACAUCCUGGCCAU